AGACAAGAACGACUGUGAGAGUGGACCGUCCGCACUAUGCACGGCAUCUUGCCAAAAAGGGACGGAUAACUACGUGCCACCAGCCGCGGUAAUACGUAGGUCCCGAGCGUUGUCCGGAUUUAUUGGGCGUAAAGCGAGCGCAGGCGGUUAGAUAAGUCUGAAGUUAAAGGCUGUGGCUUAACCAUAGUACGCUUUGGAAACUGUUUAACUUGAGUGCAAGAGGGGAGAGUGGAAUUCCAUGUGUAGCGGUGAAAUGCGUAGAUAUAUGGAGGAACACCGGUGGCGAAAGCGGCUCUCUGGCUUGUAACUGACGCUGAGGCUCGAAAGCGUGGGGAGCAAACAGGAUUAGAUACCCUGGUAGUCCACGCCGUAAACGAUGAGUGCUAGGUGUUAGACCCUUUCCGGGGUUUAGUGCCGCAGCUAACGCAUUAAGCACUCCGCCUGGGGAGUACGACCGCAAGGUUAAAACUCAAA
rnacentral:rRNA from 1 species